CUCCAGCAGACCCUCCCUCCCAGACCCUCCUACUUCCUGGGCAACAUGGAUGCUGUCCAGGAAGUAGGAGGGUCUGGGAGGGAGGGUCUGCUGGAG